rnacentral:rRNA from 1 species
ACACGACUACAUUAGACUACCCGUGUAGUCCUAGCCGUAAACUAUGCUCGCUAGGUGUCAGGGACGGUGCGACCGUUUCUGGUGCCGCAGGGAAGCCGUGAAGCGAGCCACCUGGGAAGUACGGUCGCAAGGCUGAAACUUAAAGGAAUUGGCGGGGGAGCACCACAACGGGUGGAGCUUGCGGUUUAAUUGGAUUCAACGCCGGAAAUCUUACCGGGACCGACAGCAACAUGAAGGCCAGGCUGAAGACUUUGCCGGAUUAGCUG